UACAGAGGUCCCAAGCGUUGUUCGGAUUCACUGGGCGUAAAGGGUGCGUAGGUGGCAUGGUAAGUCGGAUGUGAAAUCUCCGAGCUCAACUCGGAAAUGGCAUUGGAAACUGCCGUGCUCGAGGGUUGGAGGGGGGACUGGAAUACUUGGUGUAGCAGUGAAAUGCGUAGAUAUCAAGUGGAACACCAGUGGCGAAGGCGAGUCCCUGGACAACUCCUGACACUGAGGCACGAAAGCUAGGGGAGCAAACAGG
rnacentral:rRNA from 1 species